rnacentral:lncRNA from 1 species
CUCGGAAUUUAGUGAAGAGAGAAUACUAAAAUCACUAUGAUGUCCAGAUGAAUCUCUAGUUAGCUUUGGAACAGUUACAGAUACCUCCUACAGAGUUACAAGUUCCAAAUUAGAUUUCAAUGAUCACCACUAACAAUGAGGACUUGAUAGGCUUCAAUAGAAUUACUUAAACAACAACACUAUAGUAGCUGGAUUGGAUUCUGAAAAUCUUCCCUGAUUAAAAUAAAAUACAGUGAUGACUCAUAGAUAUACAAUAUUUAAUAGGUAAACACAAUUUCUUCUCUGAAAGCUAAACAAUAUUUUUCUAGUUGAAUCUUCACCCAGGUUUGUCGAAAAAGCAAAUGAACUGGUUAGAAAAUCAAUGAUAAUGCAAACAUCACUUACAGAAAAAUGAAAGUGACUACAACAAAAUUUAGGAAACCUUAUACAUAGUGCACUUUUGGGAAAACUAAGUGAUAGAAUUGAUCUACAAGAAAACUUCCUCACCUGAAGAGUUGUGAAACCUCUGCGCUAAUUCUAAGCCAAACUACCAAAUUGUUCUAGUUUCAUCUACAACACUAUAUUUCAGAAACUGCAAUAAGAUUAAGUAAAAGAUAGAAACACAACAUAGUUCAUAAGUAAGUGGGAAGAAGACAUUCAGAUUAGAAAUCUGAACUAAGGAUUGACAUUUAUUUGCUCUUGUCUGACCUUCAUUUGAAUGACGUACAAAGCAUCACAGAUUCACUUGACAUUCAAUUGAACCUAUCACAUACAGACUAUACAGUAAAUAACAAUAAAAUGCAAUCACUAAUUAACAAAUUACAAAUUGAAUCAACAAGUGGUGGCUGCAAGCGUGGAGUGAGGAAUCACUUACUUCAAAAUAUUUUUAUUAAAGUCGGCUGGAGUGAGCGAGGACCAGAGGGCGGCGCGGCUAUUGCAGGACCGGAGGGCGGCGCGGUCUGGUAAUGGUGGUUGCAGGCGUCGUCUAAUGCAGGAGGGCUGAUGGCAACGUGGUCAAGUAGUGGUGGCUGGCGGCGCAGUCUGUUGUAUGGCGACGAUUGAAAGCGGCGGCCGUUGCGGACCGAUGGAAAUGGCCGCGGAGUGCACGGAGGAGGCGUAGAUUCCUGGCGCCGCUAACGAUUUGGGAGGGAAGAUAGCAUAUUUGGAGAGAAUUGGGAGAGAGGCAGC